CCCCGCUGCCCUGCUCUCCCUGAUGGAGGUUCCAUGAGCCUGCCCUGCUGUUGGUGGCUCUCUGAGCCCCCGGCGGCCGAGGCUGCGAGCGGGCUCUGCUCUCAAGGAAUCCAAGGCUAAGGCGCAGCUGUGUCCAGUGCAGACCCCUCGCCUCAAGCCGGUGUGAGCUCUGCUCCGAGAUCAGCGAAGGUGAACAUGUAUCACUGAUCAUUUCUGGAACGCAGCUCCCCUCCUCCACUUUGAAGGUGACUGGGUUUCACUGGGGACACGCUAAUUGCUGCUGAAAAUGAGCAGGGAGUAAUGUGGAGGCCUCUAUCCACCUCCUUGAACUGCCCAGUGACAGGGGAAAGGCCUAAACCCCUCAUGGUGGCCAUCCUCUCAUGCCAAUGCUGGGACUCUCAGGCACAUGGAGAUUCUGGAGAAGGUGAUGGAUGUGAUUUGGGACUUCACUGGAGGGACUCUGACAUUUGGAAGCAGACUCUUGCACAGCUGCACUGCUCACAUGCUCCUGAGCCUCUUCUGGAAUGUGACUGUAGAGAAGAGCAGGUGUUGUCCUGAGCUUUGCUGGCCUGUCAGGAGAAAUCCUGUUCUGGAAUAGUUCAGGACACUAGGUGCUCACCUGAAUUGGUCUUUUAGAAGGAUUCGUCAGUCCUUCCAGAAACUUGGCACUGCAACUGUUGGCUUCUGAAACGAAGUAAAAGAAUCAAACCAGCAUUUGUGUGGCCUGCAAAGACUCGUUGGAUGGAUCUCUUGUUUUAGUUGGCAAUUUCUUCUUAAAGAGAAGAUUUCACAUCUGUGACAGAGCUUUGAGCUGAUGCAGAGAAUGUGCUCCUGUGAGAUGCUGCCCAAAGCAGUCCCUUUCUGUGAGAUGCCCAGAGGCUGAUUUUGCAACCAGGUCCUUCUGUUCAUGUUGGCUUCAAAGGCCUUCACGUAUCUGGUGGGAGGGAACAGCCCUGUGCUCUGCAGGCUCUGACUACAGGCUCUGUAGUCCAUUCAAGUGGAGGCUUUAGGCUGCUCUCCCAUGGCUGCUGGAGACAUGUAAUGCGGCCUCAGGCUCCUGACGCUUUCCUUGAUGGUUCGUUAUAGUCAUUAUCCCACAUUCCUUCUGGUUGCAGAACAUGUUGUUAUUAUUGCUUUGUGCUGGGUCUGUCUCCUGUCCCUUUUUUACAGGCCAAUCCGGCCCUAUUAGCUCUUGUCUCUAAAACAAAAGCAAAUUAGCACUGCAGAAGCUGAAUUAUCUUGUUUAUGUUAUAGUAUGUCAGGGGACCCCACACAAUCCUUGCAUGUCUCUCUGAGCAGUGUGCCAGAGAGUGAAGAGACACAGUAAGUCGGUCAAACCCUCCUGGCACUCUGACCCAAUCCACAGGUUUCCAAAAGGGUCUUUAGUUGCUUUGGGGAAGCUAAGGCUGGUCAGUGAUCCCUGCUGUCCCUCCCUCAGUUUUGGUAUUUUAUGCACGCUUGUGCAUACAGAACUAGAAAUUUUUUUACAGUAAAUUGUACCUCUCAACUCAAACUUGACAGCUGUCAAUGAAAUUUGCUGUUCAAAACUGAUCUCAAGCACAUUGCCCUCUGGUUAGUCUGUCUGUGCUCCCUUGGCCAGGAUGUUUAUAAUACUCAGGGAGUCUCUCAUGUUACUUAGUGCAGUAAUGUGGCUCCAUGAAUAAAAGCCAUUUCCAGUCUGUCGGUACUGCA
ensembl:lncRNA